AUUGAACGCUGGCGGCAUGCCUUACACAUGCAAGUCGAACGGUAACAGGUCUUCGGAUGCUGACGAGUGGCGAACGGGUGAGUAAUACAUCGGAACGUGCCCGAUCGUGGGGGAUAACGCAGCGAAAGCUGUGCUAAUACCGCAUACGAUCUACGGAUGAAAGCGGGGGAUCGCAAGACCUCGCGCGGACGGAGCGGCCGAUGGCAGAUUAGGUAGUUGGUGGGAUAAAAGCUUACCAAGCCGACGAUCUGUAGCUGGUCUGAGAGGACGACCAGCCACACUGGGACUGAGACACGGCCCAGACUCCUACGGGAGGCAGCAGUGGGGAAUUUUGGACAAUGGGGGAAACCCUGAUCCAGCCAUGCCGCGUGCAGGAUGAAGGCCUUCGGGUUGUAAACUGCUUUUGUACGGAACGAAAAGGUCCUUUCUAAUAAAGAGGGCUCAUGACGGUACCGUAAGAAUAAGCACCGGCCUAACCUACGUG
rnacentral:rRNA from 1 species